AUUGAACGCUGGCGGCAUGCUUUACACAUGCAAGUCGAACGGCAGCACAGUAAGAGCUUGCUCUUAUGGGUGGCGAGUGGCGGACGGGUGAGGAAUACAUCGGAAUCUACUCUUUCGUGGGGGAUAACGUAGGGAAACUUACGCUAAUACCGCAUACGACCUACGGGUGAAAGCGGAGGACCUUCGGGCUUCGCGCGAUUGAAUGAGCCGAUGUCGGAUUAGCUAGUUGGCGGGGUAAAGGCCCACCAAGGCGACGAUCCGUAGCUGGUCUGAGAGGAUGAUCAGCCACACUGGAACUGAGACACGGUCCAGACUCCUACGGGAGGCAGCAGUGGGGAAUAUUGGACAAUGGGCGCAAGCCUGAUCCAGCCAUGCCGCGUGGGUGAAGAAGGCCUUCGGGUUGUAAAGCCCUUUUGUUGGGAAAGAAAAGCAGUCGGUUAAUACCCGAUUGUUCUGACGGUACCCAAAGAAUAAGCACCGGCUAACUUCGUGCCAGCAGCCGCGGUAA
rnacentral:rRNA from 1 species